rnacentral:sRNA from 1 species
AUGUGUAGACGCCUACUCCUCCCAAGGGCGUUUGCGGGAACGGCAACACUCCUCCUCCCAGUUGCUGUUCGGUUAUUUUCGGAAAAGCCUGCCGCACCUCCUCCCGCGGCAGGCUUUUUCG